rnacentral:misc_RNA from 1 species
AUCAAGGACACUUGACUGCAGAUCCAACCUAAUUCGAAGGCAGCGACCCCCGUCAAAACAUCCUUUCAGAAGAAGCUAGAGCUCGUUUGGCCGACUCUCUACAAAAGGCGAAUACCGAAAACUCGCAAUUACAAGAACAAAUAAAACAGUUAGAGGACCAACAGCAGAUCCUCAAAAGAAAAGUAAGAAGGCUCAGGGAAGAG